rnacentral:lncRNA from 1 species
CUUUAUAAAUAUUUUGAUAUGAGCGUCACUGAUGAGUCUUAUGUAGACGAAACGCGCGUCUGGUAUACUAAAUGAUAAUCCUGGUACCUUUGAUAACUAUAUCCAAAUCAUUUAUGAAAAUAUUUAAAUAUGCCACUGGGCAAUCGCUAAUUCAAAACGGCGCGAAUUUGGAUUGUGUUAGUAAAUCGCAAAAUAAAGACGGUGCGA